GAUGUGACCUGCCUGGCCCGCCGUGGUUACACGUGUGAGUGCCGGGUGUUGUCCGUCUGUCUUCCUGUUGCUAGUUGCCCUCUUCACUGAGUGGUGACCUAGUGUCGGGAUCUUUUACUUUGAACAAAUUAGAGUGUUUCAAGCAGGCUUCUGCCAUGAAUACAUUAGCAUGGAAUAAUCAUAUAGGACUUCGGUUCUAUUUUGUUGGUUUCGAGAGCUGAAGUA
rnacentral:rRNA from 1 species